AGGUCAUGGUGAGGGCAUUCUUGGAGUAGAAGAUCCUUGAAUCUCUCCAUAAGUUUAGAAAAUGACUCACUGGGCUUUUGCCUAAACUAAAGGAUAUCACUUCUAAGCUU